rnacentral:rRNA from 1 species
UGCGUUGACUCCAAUUGAACCGCAGGCUUCACCCCUUGUGGUGCUCCCCCGCCAAUUCCUUUAGUUCAUACUUGCGUACGUACUUCCCAGGCGGCAGACUUAACGGCUUCCCUGCGGCACUGCAUUGGCCACAAGCCAAUGCAUCACCGAGUCUGCAUCGUUUACAGCUGGGACUACCCGGGUAUCUAAUCCGGUUUGCUCCCCCAGCUUUCAUCCCUCACCGUCGAACGUGUUCUGGUACACCGCCUUCGCCACAGGUGGUCUUCAAUAGAUCAAAGGAUUUUACCCCUUCCUAUCGAGUACCGUGUACCUCUCCCACUCCCUAGCUGCACAGUAUUUUCGGCGGCCUAUACGUUAAGCGCAUAGAUUUAACCGAAAACUUAUGCAACCGGCUACGGAUGCUUUAGGCCCAAUAAACCUCCUGACCACUCGAGGUGCUGGUUUUACCGCGGCGGCUGACACCAGAACUUGCCCACCCCUUAUUCACCAGUGAUUCUACAACUGACAAAAGACUCCUUUAGCAGGAGACACUCGGAUUAACCUUGUCGUGCUUUCGCACAUUGCAAAGGUUUCUCGCCUGCUGCGCCCCAUAGGGCCUGGGUCCGUGUCUCAGUACCCAUCUCCNGGGCCCUCCUCUCAGAGCCCGUACC